GCGCUUAGGGAGGGGCUUGUGUCCGAUUAGCUAGUUGGUUAGGGUAAUGGUCUACCAAGGCGAUGAUCGGUAGCUGGUUUGAGAGGACGGUCAGCCACACUGGGACUGAGACACGGCCCAGACUCCUACGGGAGGCAGCAGCAAGGAAUUUUGUGCAAUGGGCGAAAGCCUGACACAGCGACGCCGCGUGGGGGAUGAAGGCCUUCGGGUUGUAAACCCCUUUUCCCAGGGAAGAAUAAUGACGGUACCUGGGGAAUAAGCCUCGGCUAACUACGUGCCAGCAGCCGCGGUAAUACGUAGGAGGCAAGCGUUAUCCGGAUUUACUGGGCGUAAAGCGGGCGCAGGCGGCCUUUCAAGUCGGAUGUAAAAUCUCCCGGCUUAACUGGGAGGGAUCAUUCGAUACUGUUGGGCUAGAGGACAGCAGGGGGAGGUGGAAUUCCCGGUGGAGUGGUGAAAUGCGUAGAUAUCGGGAGGAACACCAGUGGCGAAGGCGGCCUCCUGGGCUGUUUCUGACGCUGAGGCCCGAAAGCGUGGGGAGCGAACAGGAUUAGAUACCCUGGUAGUCCACGCUGUAAACUAUGGACACUAGGUAUGGGGAGUAUCGACCCUCUCCGUGCCGAAGCUAACGCUCUAAGUGUCCCGCCUGGGGA
rnacentral:rRNA from 1 species